GUGCUCGCUUCAGCAGCACACGUACUAAAAUUGGAACAAUACAGAGGAGAUUAGCAUGGCCCCUGCGCAAGGAUGAUAGGCAAAUUUGUGAAGCGUUCCAUAUUUUU